GUCACUGAGUGGGAUCGGCUAUAUGAAUCUUAGAACGCCAUUGUGCUCGAUCCUGUGUCAUGUCAUUCGUUAGAUCCAAGUACUCUAAGUCUUUUCUUAGAGUCUCUUCCAAAGUUUGCCUAGGUCUUCCUCUACCCCUUCGGCCCUGAACCUCUGUCCCAUAGUCGCAUCUUCUAAUCGGAGCGUCAGUAGGCCUUCUUUGCACAUGUCCAAACCACCGUAACCGAUUUUCUCUCAUCUUUCCUUCAAUUUCGGCUACUCCUACUUUACCCCGGAUAUCCUCAUUCCUAAUCUUAUCCUUUCUCGU
rnacentral:lncRNA from 1 species